CUAACGGUCCGGGGUACACACCCUGUAGACACACCAGGGCAGGCAUCGAGCAUGCACCAAAUCGAGAUCACCCUCACUGUCUCAGGAGUCGGACUCCUGGAUACACAAGCUAAACACAUACUUGUUGUUGGGGCAUGUUGGCAGGGGAGAUGAGAAGGGUAUAAGAACAGGACAGCAGAGGGAGAGGGAAGAAGCAGGAGGAGAGACAAGAUGAUGUAACCAAGCAAUAAAGCUUCUUUAACUGCAUAAAGAACUGCUUUGUUGUAUCCAGAGACAUCCAUCUCCGAAGCUCGUAGAGGUGACGAUAAUUGGCCACAGGUCAAGGAUUCACAGGUUUUCCCCAUACUAGGACGGCUCCGACUCAAUGGUCCCGAUGAAGCCAGACAGUGGGUGCCAACCCACUCCUUUUGACUCCUGGGACCUCCAGAACAAGAAGAAGAGCAAAAGGAGGCGGAAAAGGAGGACCAGGACACACCAGUCGACAGAAAAGAGAGAGCAGAAGAGAAGACUGAAAUGGCUGUGUCCUGGACUUGCUCUAAUCAAAUCCAAGAACUGGCAAAGUUUGUAGCUGACAUUAAUGUAUUAUCAAAAAAAAUUUCAGCCUCCCUAAUGAUGUUUCUCAUGAGCUUAUUGAUUGGAUAUAUCAACAUACACUGUCAAUACCCUCAUGGUUGUCAAAUAUUUUACUGUUAAUUGCCUUUUUUAUCGUAUUGCUGUUGCUUUUACCUUGUAUUUUCUGAUGCUUUUUCUCUCUUACAACAGUCCCUUGCAGGACUGGUAGCCGAGUGGCACCCCCUUCAUAGAAUACAAAAAGGGGGAGAUGCUAGGGAACCUGGCAACAAGAAUGCUAGGGAACAGAAUAACAAGAGUCUGCAUUAAUCCUGAGACCCUUCACCAUGUACCUUGCACAUAAUGCCCCAUUUGUAUAGGCAACAAGUCUGUGCAAAGACGAGUCUUGUGCUACCUGACCCUUGUGGUCUUUGGCUGGUUGGAUCUUGGUCAGCUCAUUCUUGGGAAAGGAUAUGGAGGCCUCGGGUGUGAGUUCUGCCUCACUGGCUAAAGGUCUGAGGUACACACCCUGUAGACACACCAGGACAGGCAUCGAGCAUGCACCAAAUCGAGAUCGCCCCCACCAUCUCAGGAGUCGGGCUCCUGGAUACACAAGCUAAACACAUACUUGUUGUUGGGACACGUUGGCAGGGGAGAUGAGAAGGGUAUAAGAACAGGACAGCAGAGGGAGAGGGAGGAAGCAGGAGGAGAGACAAGAUGAUGUAACCAAGCAAUAAAGCUUCUUUAACUGCAUAAA